rnacentral:lncRNA from 1 species
CACCAGUGCAUUAUCCUCCACCCCCUUACGAGUACAAGUCUCCUCCGCCACCCCCGCCAUCACCACCCAAGCAUCCCUAUAAGUACAAGUCUCCACCUCCACCUCCACCAUCACCACCCAAGCACCCUUACAAGUACAAGUCUCCACCACCCCCACCAUCACCACCCAAGCACCCCUACAAGUACAAGUCUCCUCCACCACCUCCACCAUCACCACCCAAGCACCCCUACAAGUAUAAGUCUCCACCACCCCCACCAUCACCACCCAAGCAUCCUUACAAGUACAAGUCUCCACCACCACCACCACCAUCACCACCCAAGCACCCCUACAAGUACAAGUCUCCUCCACCUCCACCAUCACCACCCAAGCAUCCCUACAAGUACAAGUCUCCACCACCCCCACCCUCACCACCCAAGCACCCCUACAAGUACAAGUCUCCACCCCACCCCCACCCUCACCACCCAAGCACCCUUACAAGUACAAGUCUCCCCCACCACCCACUCCAGUCUACAAAUAUAAGUCUCCUCCCCCUC